CAGCCGCUGCUUACCAUGCAAGUCGAACGGCAGCGCGAGGAGCUUGCUCCUUGGCGGCGAGUGGCGGACGGGUGAGUAACGCGUAGGAAUCUGCCUUGUAGUGGGGGAUAACCCGGGGAAACUCGGGCUAAUACCGCAUAAUCUCUACGGAGCAAAGUGGGGGAUCUUAGGACCUCAUGCUAUAAGAUGAGCCUGCGUUAGAUUAGCUUGUUGGUGGGGUAAUGGCCUACCAAGGCGACGAUCUAUAGCUGGUCUGAGAGGACGAUCAGCCACACUGGGACUGAGACACGGCCCAGACUCCUACGGGAGGCAGCAGUGGGGAAUAUUGGACAAUGGGGGCAACCCUGAUCCAGCAAUGCCGCGUGUGUGAAGAAGGCCUUCGGGUUGUAAAGCACUUUCAGUAGGGAAGAAAGUCUUAGGGUUAAUACCCUUGAGCGUUGACGUUACCUACAGAAGAAGCACUGGCUAACUCUGUGCCAGCAGCCGCGGUAAUACAGAGAGUGCAAGCGUUAAUCGGAAUCACUGGGCGUAAAGCGCACGUAGGUGGAUAUCUUAGUCGGAUGUGAAAGCCCCGGGCUUAACUUGGGAACUGCACCCGAUACUGGAUGUCUAGAGUAUGGUAGAGGGAAGUGGAAUUUCCGGUGUAGCGGUGAAAUGCGUAGAUAUCGGAAAGAACAUCAGUGGCGAAGGCGACUUCCUGGACUAAUACUGACACUGAGGUGCGAAAGCGUGGGGAGCAAACAGGAUUAGAGACCCUGGUAGUCCACGCUGUCAACGAUGAGAACUAGACGUUGGGAAAGGUAACUUUCUAGUGUCGAAG
rnacentral:rRNA from 1 species